GGCUUUGAACGAGAUUGUCCUGUCUCAGCCUCCUGAGUAUCUGGAAUUACAGCCACCAUACUGGAGAGGCGCCGUUCCGAGUCCACAUGUCUAUACCCUGGAGCCACCUGUUUCAGCCCCAGCUGUAUGAGUAAAUAGACUCAGGUUAAGCCUUGUCAAGAUCACAGCUAGGCAGAGGCAGGUUGGUGUCCCCUCUGGGCUAUUCUCUGGAGGGGCAAUAUUCUUUUUAUUGUAGCACAACACCCCCAAGGUUGGGGCUGGGAUGGAAGUCUACAUGGGCCAGAGAUUUUCUAGAACAACAGCCACCUGCCCAGCAUAGUGCAUAUAAAAACAGACCUGGCCACUUCCUUUUGGACAUAAAUACCUGCCAUUCCCAUUUCUACCACUGAUAUGCUCUACCCUCAAGUGCUUGCAUGACUGAGGACAUUCCUGUCAGGGGAGACAGCCUUAUCCUGACAGGCAGACCAUGGAGCAGGGUUGCCAACAUCCAGGAUGGGUUGCAGGAGUCUGCAGGCUGAUUGUGUUGUUUGCUGAGACAAUGAAAUUUCCGGUGGGCAGAUUUCAAGAGGUCCCACCCAAGUGUCACAAGCAAGAAACUGGAUAGCCCUUUCCACUUGGUCCAGUGUGGGGAAAUUUGAGUUUGUUGCCAGGGCCUCUUGGCAAAUUCUCCAUAGGCCUUGUUGAGUCCACUUAAAGCUGAACUUUCUGUCAAACUCGGAGUCAAUAGCCCAGGAGGAGUUUGAAGUCUUAGCACAUAAUUCCUGGCAAAUUUAAAGCAAGAUGUUUUUCUGAAGAAUUGUGCUGAGGUUUCCAAGGUGGAGUUUCAGAACCAAUGACUGGACCCUAAGUGGGGUAGUACUGAGCAAGGAGGUCUAUAGCUGGUGGAAUGUCAGGAAUCCCAGGACAUCUGGUCUGUUUUGCAUCUGCUGCUUCAACCAGUCUGCAUUCUUCCUGUGGGGAGUGAGGGCUCCAGUGAUAGGCCUGGAAACAGGAGACCUCUUUGAUCCUUGUCUCCCACCUCUGCCUGAAGUAGGAUGACUUUGAGUGCUAUACUUCAUGUUCUGGAGCCUUGCCUUUCCAUAAACAAGGGUGACAAGUGCUACCAGACCUGGAAUUCACAUCUUGGAAGAAACAGGGCAAGAGGGACUCAUACUCCAAUACAAAGGAAGGCCCUGAUUUCCCUGAGACAGAAACUUCCUUGCAAAUCUGAGAUCUUUGUUCUGUUAGAACUCCUGCAUGGAUGUGGCUAGCAGCUCUUAUUCAGAAUGAGGGAGCAGUUGUCAUCUGGAGUCCUUAACAUUCCAUGUACUGACAUUCUGAGGUCCUUGGCAAGGACAGUAUUGCUGACAACUUCAUCACAUUGGGAGGUGACAAUUACAAGGCCUCUGUAGAUUCUUUGGACUGCUAAAGGUUUACAGAAGAGGAAACCAUCAGUCUCUGUGACCCUAUGCUCUUCAAACUCAAGGUUCUACUGACACUUGCAAUAGCAUUGAAAACGAGUACAGAUAUUCAUGAGGAUUGAACCCAGGGACACUUAUAUUCCCAGCCCUUUUUAUUUUUUAUUUUGAGUCAGGGUCUCCCUAACUUGCCUCAAACUUGUAAUCCUUCUGCCUCAGCAUUCCCAGGUUCUGGGGUUAUAGGUGUGCACUACCGUGCUUGGCAUGGAAACCCUCUUUCUGUGAGCCUGUGCCUAUCCAUUUUGGGAUCCAGCCAGCCUCCAGAGCAGGGGAGAUGUUAGGAAAAAUGCUUCUGAGACGCUACUGAGUGGCCUCUGCAUUCCAGAUCUGAACUGUGUCCUUGUAUGUCUUUGGGUUCCUUCCAUCCUGCCAGUUGAAAACAUCUUCCCAGACAUAGCAAGUCACUGGUAAAUCCUUAAAGCCAAAACAAAGGAAAGAAAUGCAAAAUACCAAUGGACAGUGUCCAGCUGCUGUGGCAGCAUUCUGAGCGUGGAACUUCCUGCCCCCAUAGGGAAGCAUUUACAGACUGAGGUGCCAAUCUGUAAAACCUCAGCUUUCAUCCAGGGGUAUGGCUGUGUUGCUUGUCUGGCUUAGAGAGUUAGAGGCCUGUACUUCAUCUAGAUUCUAAGCCAUGAUAAUUUGGCUUCAGUUUGGAAAAGCUACAACAGGGCUAUGACUCUAAAUUCUACCUCAUCAGCUUGGCUGUCGAGCAUGGCUGAGCUGAGUGAGUCUAGAUCCCUUUGUGGCCACAAGGCCAAUGCUGCAGCUGGUAUAUUGGCCAUCUGGCAUCUGGGUGACACUGAGAGUUGACAGAUGCUCCCUCUGGUCUGACAGCCAGCACCUCUGGGAGUCAGGCACGAGGAAGGCCUUGGUAUUUAAGGUGGCAAGAAUCCAAGAAGCUCAAGAAGCUGUCCAAGGCUCUGCUCCAGGAAUCUACCUCUACUGUAUGUGAGGCUAAUGUAUCUGGCUGGCCACCUUCACCUGCUGCCUCUGUCUUGCCUCAGGCAUCUCUUGGUAUCCUGGCCUAGAUGCAUUAACUCAGACUGCUGGAGAAAGGCCUGGGCUUCCUCUCCCUUGCAUGUAUCCCCUUUGAGAUGUGCACCCUCAAUGCUGCCCUGAUGGGUGCCCCAAGGGCCCAAUGCCUUCAGCUCCACUCAGCACUCCUUGCCCUGUUCCCCCUGGUUUGCAGCUAAGACCCGGGCUCACUGCUCUGGGGAAAGUUUACUGUUAUAACAGCCAAAAACAUUUCACCUGCAUUUUCUAACCAAACAUCCCUGAGGAAGAGCCAUGACAUUCUUCAUAACACAUCUGAGGAACUGAAGACCAGGUUGAUUCAAUAGGUCAUCCAAGGCCAGCCAGGGGGAACAGGGCAGAUCCUGUGACUCUCCCAGAGCUAGAUGGGAGUCUAGCACUGGUCUCCACUCUGCCUGUGUCUUCUGUUCCAUCAGUCCUGGAAACAAGAUCCUCCCCAUUUUUCAGAAGAAGAAACAGGCAUGGAGAGCACCAGAUCUGAAAGAUUCUUGGUGAAACAGAAAGAAAGGAGCCCAUGGCUGCUACCACCUCCAGUCAGCCCAGCAGUUGUCACAGCCAAGAUCUUGGCAUAACACCCUGGUCUGCAUUCAUAGAUCUGUCGUGCCACAUCCCUGGAUUUCAUUCUCCUUCCUGUCUGCCAGGUGGAAGUGAAUCGGGUACUGACCCACCAGUUGCUGCCCCAUGUGCUUUAGCUCCACGCCCUCCAUGUGUGCUGCUUUAAACCCCAGUGCAAGCUGGAAGUGGAGAGGGAGAGGAAAGGGUGAGUCAGAAGAAGCCCUGAGGAGCUUCCAGACAAUGCAAAUGUCUAGUGACAAACCCUAGAGUGCUUUGUCAAUUCCUGCCUGGGUAAGUCAAAGAUGUUCUGUGCAUAUUGGUUAGGAUGCCUGCCUCUUCUUACAGAAAGGGAGACAAGAAAGGCAUUACUAAUGAUUGAGAAUAUUACAAAACAAUGCACUGCUUGGAUUUGAGAAGCCCUAAGGAGUUGUGCAAUACCUGGGACUGCUCUGCUCUGCCUUUCCUUCCCUGCCUCCUGAGCCACCAAAUAUUAUGAAAAAGGGAUAAUCCUGGGAUAUCCUGGUGGAGCUGGCAGAUAGUAUGCCCUACCAGUUUGGGGAAUGAAUAUGGAGGACCAUCGGGCGGGGUGGUAAGAGCCUCCCCAUGCCCACCAUUUGAGACCCUCUCCCAACAGAGAGGGUUGGGGAUGUUGAUUAUGGAAACUUCAUGGAUCUCCCCCUUAUUGGCAUGUGGGGAGUAGUGGGAGCUCACAUGCUCUCUUCACAGUAUGCUCAGAGCCACUCAAGGGGAAUCCCUUGACCACACAGAUACCCAGAGUUCCAGAAGCUCAUAGAGAGAGCACAGUCUGAAAGUGAUUUCUCUCAGAAGUUGGGCUCAGCCAACUUCCAGGAAAGGAAGAUAAUUCUGACAUGCCUACCAUUUGUCCACAAAAUAGGUGUCUACAGGUAUCCCAACUCCAGUGGUGGAUCCCUGGGAAAGCUGUGUUGAGAAUGAUCCUGAGGACUAGUUUGGGCUCAGUGGGCAAGAGUGCCCUGAUCACUCAGAAUCACUCUCAGUAUUGGAAAAAGAGUUGCAGCAGCUUGAAUAAUAGACCUGCUAUUUCUGCUGUGGUCUCACUAAAGAGUUUCCCACCCUGUCCCCAGAAAAGGACUGGAAAUGCAUAGAAGUAAUGCUAAAAAGCACUAUUAGCAUUUAAUGAAUAGGAGCCAGUGA